rnacentral:rRNA from 1 species
AGAGUUUGAUCCUGGCUCAGGGACGAACGCUGGCGGCGUGGAUAAGACAUGCAAGUCGAACGAGAGAAUUGCUAGCUUGCUAAUAAUUCUCUAGUGGCGCACGGGUGAGUAACACGUGAGUAACCUGCCCCCGAGAGCGGGAUAGCCCUGGGAAAUUGGGAUUAAUACCGCAUAGUAUCGAAAGAUUAAAGCAGCAAUGCGCUUGGGGAUGGGCUCGCGGCCUAUUAGUUAGUUGGUGAGGUAACGGCUCACCAAGGCGAUGACGGGUAGCCGGUCUGAGAGGAUGUCCGGCCACACUGGAACUGAGACACGGUCCAGACACCUACGGGUGGCAGCAGUCGAGAAUCAUUCACAAUGGGGGAAACCCUGAUGGUGCGACGCCGCGUGGGGGAAUGAAGGUCUUCGGAUUGUAAACCCCUGUCAUGUGGGAGCAAAUUAAAAAGAUAGUACCACAAGAGGAAGAGACGGCUAACUCUGUGCCAGCAGCCGCGGUAAUACAGAGGUCUCAAGCGUUGUUCGGAAUCACUGGGCGUAAAGCGUGCGUAGGCUGUUUCGUAAGUCGUGUGUGAAAGGCGCGGGCUCAACCUGCGGACGGCACAUGAUACUGCGAGACUAGAGUAAUGGAGGGGGAACCGGAAUUCUCGGUGUAGCAGUGAAAUGCGUAGAUAUCGAGAGGAACACUCGUGGCGAAGGCGGGUUCCUGGACAUUAACUGACGCUGAGGCACGAAGGCCAGGGGAGCGAAAGGGAUUAGAUACCCCUGUAGUCCUGGCAGUAAACGGUGCACGCUUGGUGUGCGGGGAAUCGACCCCCUGCGUGCCGGAGCUAACGCGUUAAGCGUGCCGCCUGGGGAGUACGGUCGCAAGAUUAAAACUCAAAGAAAUUGACGGGGACCCGCACAAGCGGUGGAGUAUGUGGCUUAAUUCGAUGCAACGCGAAGAACCUUACCUGGGCUUGACAUGUAAUGAACAACAUGUGAAAGCAUGCGACUCUUCGGAGGCGUUACACAGGUGCUGCAUGGCCGUCGUCAGCUCGUGUCGUGAGAUGUUUGGUUAAGUCCAGCGAUGAGCGCAACCCCUGUUGCCAGUUACCAGCACGUGAAGGUGGGGACUCUGGCGAGACUGCCCAGAUCAACUGGGAGGAAGGUGGGGACGACGUCAGGUCAGUAUGGCCCUUAUGCCCAGGGCUGCACACGUACUACAAUGCCCAGUACAGAGGGGGCCGAAGCCGCGAGGCGGAGGAAAUCCUAAAAACUGGGCCCAGUUCGGACUGUAGGCUGCAACCCGCCUACACGAAGCCGGAAUCGCUAGUAAUGGCGCAUCAGCUACGGCGCCGUGAAUACGUUCCCGGGUCUUGCACACACCGCCCGUCA